rnacentral:rRNA from 1 species
GACGAACGCUGGCGGCGUGCUUAACACAUGCAAGUCGAACGAAGUGGCGAACGGGUGAGUAACGCGUAAUCAACCUGCCCUUCAGCGGGGGACAACAGGUGGAAACGACUGCUAAUACCGCAUACGGAAGGAGGGGAUUGCGUCUGAUUAGGUCGUUGUAGGGGUAACGGCCCACCAAGGCGAUGAUCAGUAGACGGUCUGGUAGGAUGAUGGGCAAUAUUGGGACUGAGAGACGGCCCAGACUCCUACGGGAUGCAGCAGUGGGAAAUCUUCCGCAAUGGACGAAAGUGUGACGGAGAAACGCCGGGUGAGUGAUGACGGCAUUCGGGUUGUAAGGCUCGGUUAAUCGGGACGCGGUACCGGAAUAGAAAGCGACGGCUAACUACGUGCCAGCAGCCGCGGUAAUAU